rnacentral:lncRNA from 1 species
UACAACAUACAACAUAUGCCGCACACAAACAGAAACAAGCAACGGAGUUCGCCCCUGCAACUGCUCCGCCUCCGGCCUCCGGCUGCUCCGCCUCCGGCCUCCGGCUGCUCCACCUCUGGCCUCCGGCCUCCGGCUGCUCCGCCUCCAGCGAUUAAGGUAAGAAACUGUCAUAAGUUUCGGUUUUAGAUAGUCCAUACAGUUACGGUUCAGAAACUAAUCCAAUUAAUGAUCCAUCUGAGAUAUGCCAUACACUGCCUGAAUACUCAUAUGUGGAUGGAGAUGGAACAGUCCCUGCCGAGUCUGCAAUGGUACCUUAAAUAUCAUAUAUAAAGUGUGUGUUUAUGUGCCCCUCCCUUUAAAUAAUUGGGUCAAACACAUCGAUCGAUCGCCUAAUUAACUUCAAGUUUGACUACUUAUUCAUCAAACUCUUCGAGACCCAUGUUUUAACUAUUGACAAACCUGAUUUAGUUUUUCUAUUUGUAAAGACUAUCGUAUUUUAUAGUGUUUUUAAAUUUCUAAUGACGAUUUUCUUUUCAUCAUUGUAUCGUACUUUU